GACGAACGCUGGCGGCGUGCCUAAUACAUGCAAGUAGAACGCACAGUUUAUACCGUAGCUUGCUACACCAUAGACUGUGAGUUGCGAACGGGUGAGUAACGCGUAGGUAACCUGCCUGGUAGCGGGGGAUAACUAUUGGAAACGAUAGCUAGUACCGCAUAAUAUUAAUUAUUGCAUGAUAAUUAAUUGAAAGGUGCAAUUGCACCACUACCAGAUGGACCUGCGUUGUAUUAGCUAGUAGGUGAGGUAACGGCUCACCUAGGCGACGAUACAUAGCCGACCUGGGAGGGUGAUCGGCCACACUGGGACUGAGACACGGCCCAGAAUCCUACGGGAGGCAGCAGUAGGGAAACUUCGGCAAUGGACGAAAGGCUGACCGAGCAACGCCGCGUGAGGGAAGAAGGGUUUCGGAUCGUAAAGCUCUGUUGUAAGAGAAGAAAGGGUGUGAGAGUGGAAAGUUCACACUGUGACGGUAUCUUACCAGAAAGGGACGGCUAACUACGUG
rnacentral:rRNA from 1 species